AAGGUGUCCCAAGCAGUCGCCGCCUUCGGGGGGAGGAAAGUCCGGGCUCCACAGAACAUGACGCCGGAUAACACCCGGCAGCCGUAAGGCUAGAGAAAGUGCCACAGAAAAUAUACCGCCUAGCGAUAGGUAAGGGUGAAAUGGUGGGGUAAGAGCCCACCGCGUCUCUGGUAACAGAGAUGGCAGGGUAAACCUCGUCAGGAGCAAGACCAAACAGCAAAGGAGUUGUUCGCUCAAACUUUGCGGGUAGGUUGCUUGAGCUUUUCGGUAACGGAAAGCCUAGAUAGAUGACUGCAUAGACAGAACCCGGCUUAUGGGGC
rnacentral:RNase_P_RNA from 1 species